AGUUAUUUAGUUUAAAUAAAACAUUUACUUUGAAAGUAUAGAUUAGACUACCAGUUUAAUAACUU
rnacentral:tRNA from 1 species